GUCCUUUUUUGGUUCUUCAACACGAUGUCUGGUAUUCACAUUCUACUGUGGCAUGUGUGUCCCUCCAACCUGUCACAAUGUUGGCAUGUUACCACGUGGACA